CAUGGUAGCUUGCUACCGAUGACGACCGGCGCACGGGUGCGCAACGCGUAUACAAUCUGCCCCCUACUGUGGGAUAGCCCAGAGAAAUUUGGAUUAAUACCACAUGGUACCAUAUUACGGCAUCGUAUUUAUGGUUAAAGGUUACGGUAGGGGAUGAGUAUGCGUCCCAUUAGUUAGUUGGUGAGGUAACGGCUCACCAAGACCGCGAUGGGUAGGGGCCCUGAGAGGGGGAUCCCCCACACUGGUACUGAGACACGGACCAGACUCCUACGGGAGGCAGCAGUGAGGAAUAUUGGACAAUGGGCGGGAGCCUGAUCCAGCCAUGCCGCGUGCAGGAAGAAUGCCCUAUGGGUAGUAAACUGCUUUAUACGGGAAGAAAAGGGCUACGUGUAGCCACUGACGGACCGUAAAAUAAGGACCGGCUAACUCCGUGCCAGCAGCCGCGGUAUACGGAGGGUCGAGCGUAUCCGGAAUUUUGGGUUUAAGGGUCCUAGGCGGGCC
rnacentral:rRNA from 1 species